GGGUUGUGAGGUUAAGCGACUAAGCGUACACGGUGGAUGCCUAGGCAAUCAGAGGCGAUGAAGGACGUGCUAAUCUGCGAAAAGCGUCGGUAAGGUGAUAUGAACCGUUAUAACCGACGAUAUCCGAAUGGGGAAACCCAGUGCAAUUCGUUGCACUAUCGUUUGAUGAAUACAUAGUCAAACGAGGCGAACCGAGGGAACUGAAACAUCUCAGUACCUCGAGGAAAAGAAAUCAACCGAGAUUCCCCUAGUAGCGGCGAGCGAACGGGGAGCAGCCCAGAGUCUUAAUCAGCAUUAGCAUCAGGAGAACAGUCUGGAAAGGCUGGCAGUAAAGGGUGAUAGCCCCGUAUCCGAAGGUGUUGGUGUUGUGAACUCGACGAGUAGGGCGGGACACGUGUUAUCCUGUCUGAAUAUGGGGGGACCAUCCUCCAAGGCUAAAUACUCCUGAUUGACCGAUAGUGAACCAGUACCGUGAGGGAAAGGCGAAAAGAACCCCGGCGAGGGGAGUGAAAUAGAACCUGAAACCGUGUACGUACAAGCAGUGGGAGCACCCUUCGGGGUGUGACUGCGUACCUUUUGUAUAAUGGGUCAGCGACUUAUAUUCUGUAGCAAGGUUAACCGUAUAGGGGAGCCGUAGGGAAACCGAGUCUUAACUGGGCGAAUGAGUUGCAGGGUAUAGACCCGAAACCCGGUGAUCUAGCCAUGGGCAGGUUGAAGGUUGGGUAACACUAACUGGAGGACCGAACCGACUAAUGUUGAAAAAUUAGCGGAUGACUUGUGGCUGGGGGUGAAAGGCCAAUCAAACCGGGAGAUAGCUGGUUCUCCCCGAAAGCUAUUUAGGUAGCGCCUCGUGAACUCAUCUUCGGGGGUAGAGCACUGUUUCGACUAGGGGGUCAUCCCGACUUACCAACUCGAUGCAAACUACGAAUACCGAAGAAUGUUAUCACGGGAGACACACGGCGGGUGCUAACGUUCGUCGUGAAGAGGGAAACAACCCAGACCGCCAGCUAAGGUCCCAAAGUCAUAGUUAAGUGGGAAACGAAGUGGGAAGGCUCAGACAGCCAGGAUGUUGGCUUAGAAGCAGCCAUCAUUUAAAGAAAGCGUAAUAGCUCACUGGUCGAGUCGGCCUGCGCGGAAGAUGUAACGGGGCUAAACUAUGCACCGAAGCUGCGGCAGCGAUAUUUAGAUAUUGUUGGGUAGGGGAGCGUUCUGUAAGCCUGUGAAGGUGUACUGUGAGGUAUGCUGGAGGUAUCAGAAGUGCGAAUGCUGACAUAAGUAACGAUAAUGCGGGUGAAAAACCCGCACGCCGGAAGACCAAGGGUUCCUGUCCAACGUUAAUCGGGGCAGGGUGAGUCGACCCCUAAGGCGAGGCAGAAAUGCGUAGUCGAUGGGAAACGGGUUAAUAUUCCCGUACUGGUGAUAAUUGCGAUGGGGGGACGGAGAAGGUUAGGCUGGCCGGGCGACGGUUGUCCCGGUUUAAGGAUGUAGGCAGGUGAAUUAGGCAAAUCCGGUUCACUAUAUGCUGAGGUCUGAUGACGAGUCACUACGGUGGCGAAGUAGCUCAUACCCCGCUUCCAGGAAAAGCCUCUAAGCUCUAGAUUAUCAUUAAUCGUACCCCAAACCGACACAGGUGGUCAGGUAGAGAAUACUCAGGCGCUUGAGAGAACUCGGGUGAAGGAACUAGGCAAAAUGGUGCCGUAACUUCGGGAGAAGGCACGCUGGCAUUAGGUGAAGUGGUUUACCCAUGGAGCUGAAGCCAGUCGCAGAUACCAGCUGGCUGCAACUGUUUAUUAAAAACACAGCACUGUGCAAACACGAAAGUGGACGUAUACGGUGUGACGCCUGCCCGGUGCUGGAAGGUUAAUUGAUGGGGUUAUCCGUAAGGAGAAGCUCUUGAUCGAAGCCCCAGUAAACGGCGGCCGUAACUAUAACGGUCCUAAGGUAGCGAAAUUCCUUGUCGGGUAAGUUCCGACCUGCACGAAUGGCGUAAUGAUGGCCAGGCUGUCUCCACCCGAGACUCAGUGAAAUUGAACUCGCUGUGAAGAUGCAGUGUACCCGCGGCAAGACGGAAAGACCCCGUGAACCUUUACUAUAGCUUGACACUGAACAUUGAGCCUUGAUGUGUAGGAUAGGUGGGAGGCUUUGAAGCGUGGACGCCAGUCUGCGUGGAGCCAACCUUGAAAUACCACCCUUUAAUGUUUGAUGUUCUAACGUUGCCCCAUUAUCUGGGGUGCGGACAGUGUCUGGUGGGUAGUUUGACUGGGGCGGUCUCCUCCCAAAGAGUAACGGAGGAGCACGAAGGUUGGCUAAGCAUGGUCGGACAUCAUGCGGUUAGUGCAAAGGCAUAAGCCAGCUUGACUGCGAGAGUGACGGCUCGAGCAGGUACGAAAGUAGGUCUUAGUGAUCCGGUGGUUCUGAAUGGAAGGGCCAUCGCUCAACGGAUAAAAGGUACUCCGGGGAUAACAGGCUGAUACCGCCCAAGAGUUCAUAUCGACGGCGGUGUUUGGCACCUCGAUGUCGGCUCAUCACAUCCUGGGGCUGAAGUAGGUCCCAAGGGUACGGCUGUUCGCCGUUUAAAGUGGUACGCGAGCUGGGUUUAGAACGUCGUGAGACAGUUCGGUCCCUAUCUGCCGUGGGCGUUGGAAGAUUGAAAGGGGCUGCUCCUAGUACGAGAGGACCGGAGUGGACGCACCACUGGUGUUCGGGUUGUCAUGCCAAUGGCAUUGCCCGGUAGCUAAGUGCGGAAAAGAUAACCGCUGAAAGCAUCUAAGCGGGAAACUUGCCUUGAGAUGAGUCUUCCCUGAC
rnacentral:rRNA from 1 species